AGAGUUUGAUCAUGGCUCAGGAUGAACGCUAGCUACAGGCUUAACACAUGCAAGUCGAGGGGCAGCAUGUUGGUUGCUUGCAACCAAUGAUGGCGACCGGCGCACGGGUGAGUAACGCGUAUCCAACCUACCCUUGUCCAUCGGAUAACCCGUCGAAAGGCGGCCUAACACGAUAUGCGGUUCUCAGCAGGCAUCUAACGAGAACGAAAUGUGAAGGAGAAGGAUGGGGAUGCGUCUGAUUAGCUUGUUGGCGGGGUAACGCCACAAGGCGACGAUCAGUAGGGGUCUGAGAGAGGUCCCCANAUUGGAACUGAGACACGGUCCAAACUCCUACGGGAGGCA
rnacentral:rRNA from 1 species